UCAGGGGGCCUGAGGCAGCCGCGUGUCCUUUCGGGGGCGCGAGGAAAGUCCGGGCUCCACGAAACAAGGGUGGCGGGUAACGCCCGCCGGCGUUCCUUCGGGGGCGCAAGGGAAAGUGCCACAGAGAGUAUACCGCCGAUGGACCCUAAAGGUCACAGGCAAGGGUGAAAGGGUGCGGUAAAAGCGCACCGGGGGGCUGGCAACAGCAACCGCAUGGCAAACCCCACCCGGAGCAAGGCCGAAUAGGGGUCUCGUGCCGAAAGGCAGGCGUGUUUCGCGCCGAGAGACCCGGGUUGGCUGCUAGAGCGCCGGAGCAAUCCGGCGAGCAGAUGAAUGGCUGCCACCCCGGAGCCGGUCCGCAAGGAUACCGUCCGGGGAGACAGAACCCGGCUUAUGAUGGCCCCCUGAUGUU
rnacentral:RNase_P_RNA from 1 species